AGCGAACGCUGGCGGCAGGCUUAACACAUGCAAGUCGAACGCCCGGGGCAACCCGGGAGUGGCAGACGGGUGAGUAACACGUGGGAACAUGCCUUUCGGUUCGGAAUAACCCAGGGAAACUUGGGCUAAUACCGGAUACGCCCUUACGGGGAAAGAGUUUAUCGCCGAAAGAUUGGCCCGCGUCCGAUUAGCUAGUUGGUGGGGUAAUGGCCCACCAAGGCGACGAUCGGUAGCUGGUCUGAGAGGAUGAUCAGCCACACUGGGACUGAGACACGGCCCAGACUCCUACGGGAGGCAGCAGUGGGGAAUAUUGGACAAUGGGCGCAAGCCUGAUCCAGCCAUGCCGCGUAAGUGAUGAAGGCCUUAGGGUUGUAAAGCUCUUUCGGCGGGGAAGAUAAUGACGGUACCCGCAGAAGAAGCCCCGGCAAACUUCGUGCCAGCAGCCGCGGUAAUACGAAGGGGGCUAGCGUUGCUCGGAAUUACUGGGCGUAAAGCGCACGUAGGCGGAUUCUUAAGUCGGGGUGAAAUCCCGGAGCUCAACUCCGGAACUGCCUUCGAUACUGAGAAUCUCGAGUCCGGGGAGAGGUGAGUGGGAACUCCGAGUGUAGAGGUGAAAUUCGUAGAUAUUCGGAAGAACACCAGUGGCG
rnacentral:rRNA from 1 species